UAUUCCCUCUGUCAAAUGUGAACCGAAUCGUAUUGGAUCAGAAAGUAUGCAAUAUAUUCUGGAAUGGAAAAACUUGCCUUGAUACCGACUGUAAUAAUGUUCGUAUAAAAGGAAGGAGGCGGGAACCGGUGAACAUUCAAACCAACUUUAAUCAAAAAUAAACAAACAAUAAUACGGAAGUAAAAGACCACACAAAAAUAAAUAAAACUUAUCACAUGUCCGGGCCCGGUCCUCUCUCGUCAGCAGUCCUGUCGCUCGUCCUCUUAUGCUCCCGAUCUGCUCCAUGAGAUAUGCGAGACCGGUGUGCUCACAGCUGAUUCUCACUAUCACUCACGCCACUCAGCUAACAGCAGUACUAGGUUUACAAUGUUUGCGACGUCACCGGCUGGCUUCGUUUGUAAAACGUUUAGCGGCAAGUUUUCAUCUGGCAGGGCGACAGCGUCGGACCUUGUAAUCGGGUAUGAUUUGUUUUACAUCCCUAGCGUGAGAAUUUGGCCGGAUUACGACCGGUUAUUUGUGUAGCUUCACGAGCAAGCGUAUUAUCUCGACACAGGGAUGCGUUGUAUAGGAUCGCCAGCUGAGGCUUUCGCCCUCGGGCAAUGCGUGACCAAUUGACCUGUGUGUACCCGAAGCAUUCUAUGGGACAAACUAUAAUCUCGCUAUAUCUCUAACUAAUCAGAAAACAGCUUUUGCUACUAACAUUCUAAACAUAUCCGCUUUAUUCAUCAGUAUCUGUUUUGUUUAAAACUUAAACCAUUCUCACACGUGUCUGAUUGUACAGGGGCCUCCAUGAAAAUGGCUUGACCCAAUAAAUGUUUGUAUGCGUGCACGAGUGUUCACCAAGAGCGGUUACCUUCCAGCGUUCAUGUUUCUGAAAAAUGAAAAAAAAAAAAAUUUGAGUAUCCAUUCUUCAAACUGUGUCUACAACACUGUAUAAUUAAAGCACAUGUUUUCCUAACUGCAUGGAGCGGUGUCUUUAAAUGGUGUCCAUGAUGUUGCCCCUAUCCUGACUGUUUUCCUUCUGUCUGAGAAGAUGCCAGUGCGUCCACCAACCAAGGGUGAAGAAAAAAAAACAUCUUUAUUGCUAGUGUUCAUAGCAUCACAGCAGGCAGUUGGGUGAUUCCUUAAAACACAAAGCAGAUUUUGAUUGAACAGCAAGAAACCUUAAAUUGAAUGUACGACAUGUUAAUUUCAUGAAUGUGUUUUAUAUCAUGCCUCCAGGUUGUAUCAUAAAAAUAAGUCUGCAUAAGGUUUUCAAAAUAAUUUUUUUAGAUUAAAAAUGAAAGUGAUUCUAUCAAAGGUAUGCCUUUUAACAUAACUGUUUAUAUGAUUCUAAACUGAUAUUCUUUAAAACAUUUAGAAUAGUCAAAUCUCGCACAUCCUGUUAUUACGAGUUGUCUUUGCACAUCUGUUUUAGUGGUUAGUGUUAAACUGUGGCAACCCCUUAACACCUAGACACGAUUCUAAGAUUUACUGACAUAUAGAGCAGACUCUGAGUUCUUUUCAGCAUCAAACCUCUUUAUUAUUUUGUGUUGGACAUCUGAUUGUGUAGCAAGGAAACUCAAGAAGUAGACAUUCCAUCCUACAGUAAGUGUUUCGGUUUACUUUUAGUUUAAACAAGGUUUUAAUUGUUGUUGUUAAACAGUUUGCUUUAGAUCCAAACUUUACAUGCACAAAGUAUACGUUGAAUCACCUUUUCUUCAUUUUAUCCUCACCAUUUUCUUAUGUUUUGUUUUUGAGUGUCUAUUGAAUAUACUAGGCUAUAUUUUCUUACACAAAGCAACUGAGCAAUAGAGGUCUUCUCUGCAAGGAUAUGAAGUAGCUUGAUUUUUUGUAUAUGUAAAUAGCUUUAUAUAUUUUUUCAUACACGGCUUUAUAUAUUUUUUUGUCAUACACAGAUUGGACAGGUUGCGUGCUGGAUUGUGUACUACAGUGAUGUAGACGUGCAUCGGCAUAUGAAGCUUUGAGUCAUCUACACGUUGGAUUCAUACAUGUCUCACUAAAGCUAACCAGCCAGAUGUUGUUCCGUCCUCAAUACCAGGAGCGUCUCAAAAGCGAAGUGGCUGAAUUCGUGAGACCACGUGAUUUGCUAGUCCGACGUUGUUUUUCUGAAUUUUUCGUGUUUUAGGGGUUAUACCAUCUGAAAGUAAAAAAAAAAUGGUUAGGUUUGUGCAGUUUUUGUAAUGCUUAUUGCUAUGUCAUUCUUUGUUCCCUUAUGUUUUACUCCACUUAAAAAAACAACAACAUUAUUUUACCACAAAAUAAGCUAACAAAAUAAGGUCUUGUUUGAGAAUAAACCUCUCGUUGUGCAUUUCGGGUCUCAUUCCAAGGAUGCAAUGUGAAAUACGUACGGAAGUCUGCAGAAGGACAUUUAUUUUGACAUAGAACUGUGCGGCUUGGAUUAAAGAUCGGGCAACACACUCAGUUUCAUAUUAAUCUUGAGUGCCUAUACAGUAGUAUUGCAUACGUCGUAUCUUCGAAGAGUAUUUAGUUUGAUCAAAUUUACAAAAGACAGAUACAGCUGUACGAUUAUUUCCGGAAAAACACGAGCCGCUAUAGGCAGAGGUGGGUAGAGUAGCCAAAAUCUUUACUCAAGUAAAAGUACAAGUAACUAGA